CCUCAACCACUUUCUCCUUUCAAUCUUGGCACCACCCUUCAAUCUCUCCCUUCUCUUAAUUUCAAUUCCUUUCAUUUUCUGGUAGAGACAAAGGAGACACGUUUUAUCCGUGGACCCAAAACUCUGGCGCCAGUCACAGACUCGGGAAGACAGCCUUCCCUUUGUGUUUAAUCAUUGCAGGGACACCUCUCUGAUUAUUCACCCACGUUUCAGAGGUGUCUGACCACACAGGAAUGUCUGCAUUGGUCCUUCAUGCUUAGCAGCAAGUCCUGCUUUUCUGAGGGAGGGACAGGAACCCAGACCCCUUCUCUCCCUGUCUCUACCCCUUCUCUGCUUUUCUGGGGGGCAAGAACCCCCCAUCCCUUAUUUCCAUGCCCCAACCCCUUAUCUCUGUGCUCCGAUCCCUUAUUUCCAUGCCCUGACCUCUUAUCUCCGCACCCAGAUCCCUUAUUUCCAUGCCCUGACCUCUUAUCUCUGCACCCCGAUCCCUCGUUUCUGCACCCCAAUCCCUUAUUUCUGCACCCCGACCUCUUAUAUCUUUGCCCCAACUCCUUAUUUCCAUGCCCUGACCUCUUAUCUCUGCGCCACAACCCAUUUCUGUGCCCUGACCCCUUUCCCACUUUUCUGGGGGGUAAGAACACCUGAACCCCCUCCCUCCAUGUCUCUACUCUCUUUUUUCUAGGCUUGCCUCCUUCACUAUAGGCAAGCUUCUGUCCUACAUUCCCCCUUCUUCUCCCUUAGCCUGUGUUCUUAAAAACCUAAAACCUCUUCAACUCACACCUGACCUAAAACCUAAAUGCCUUAUUUUCUUCUGCAAUGCCCCUUGACCCCAAUACAAACUCGACAGUGAUUCCAAAUAGCCAGAAAAUGGCACUUUCAAUUUUUCCAUCCUACAAGAUCUAAAUAAUUCUUGUCGUAAAACAGGCAAACAGUCUGAGGUGCCUGACAUCCAGGCAUUCUUUUACACAUCAGUCCCUCCCUAGUCUCUGUUCCCAAUGCAACUCGUCCCAAAUCUUCCUUCUUUCCCUCCCACCUGUCCCCUCAGUCCCAACCCCAAGGCCCUCAGUCCCAACCCCAAGCAUUCCUGAGUCUUGAAAAUCUUCCUUUUCUACAGACCCAUCUGACCUCUCCACUCCUUGCCAGGCUGAGCUAAGUCCCAAUUCUUCCUCAGCCUCUGUUCCUCCACCCUAUAAUCCUUUUAUCACCUCCCCUCCUCACACCCAGUCCGGCUUGCAGUUUCGUUCUGUGAUUAGCCCUCCCCCAUCUGCCCAGCAAUUUCCGCUUAAAAAGGUGGCUAGAGGUAAAGGCAUAGUCAAGGUUAAUGCUCAUUUUUCUUUAUCCCAAAUCAGAGAGUAUUUAGGCUCUUUUUCAUCAAAUAUAAAAACCUAGCCCAGUUCAUGGCUCGUUUGGCAGCAACCCUGAGAUGCUUUACAGCCCUAGACCCUAAAAGGUCAAAAGGCCGUCUUAGUCUCAAUAUACAUUUUAUUACCCUAUCUGCUCCUGACAUUAAAUAAAACUCCAAAAAUUAAAUUCCAGCUCUCAAACCCCACACAGGACUUAAUUAACCUCACCUUCAAGGUGUACAAUAAUAAAGUGGAGGCAGCCAAGUAGCAACAUAUUUCUGAGUUGCAAUUCUUUGCCUCCACUGUGAGACAAACCCCAGCCACAUCUCCAGCACACGAGAACUUCCAAACGCCUAAACCGCAGUGGCCAGGCGUUCCUCCAGGCCCGUCUUCCCCAGGAGCUUGCUACAAGUGCCAGAAAGCUGGCCACCAGGCCAAGGAAUGCGCGCAGCCCAGGAUUCCUCCUAAGCCACGUCCCAUCUGUGCGGGACCCCACUGAAAACCGGACUGUUCAACUCACCUGGCAGCCACUCCCAGAGCCCCUGGAACUCUGGCCCAAAGCUUUCUGACUGACUCCUUCCUAGAUCUUCUCGGCUUAGCAGCUGAAGACUGACGCUGCCUGAUUGCCUCGGAAGCCCCCUAGACCAUCACGGACGCCAAGCUUCGGGUAACUUUCACAGUGGAAGGUACACAUCCAGAUGGCUGGUUCCUGCCUUAACUGAUGACAUUCCACCACAAAAGAAGUGAAAAUGGCCUGUUCCUGCCUUAACUGAUGACAUUGUCUUGUGAAAUUCCUUCUCCUGGCUCAUCCUGGCUCAAAACCUCCCCCACUGAGUACCUAGUGACCCCCACUCCUGCCCGUCAGAGAACAACCCCCCUUUGACUGUAAUUUUACUUUACCUACCCAAAUCUUAUAAAAUGGCCCCACCCCUAUAUCCCUUUGCUGAAUCUCUUUUCGG
rnacentral:lncRNA from 10 species